rnacentral:rRNA from 1 species
GACGAACGCUGGCGGCGUGCCUAAUACAUGCAAGUAGAACGCUGAAGCGAGGAGCUUGCUCUUCUUGGAUGAGUUGCGAACGGGUGAGUAACGCGUAGGUAACCUGCCUUGUAGCGGGGGAUAACUAUUGGAAACGAUAGCUAAUACCGCAUAACAAUGGAUGACACAUGUCAUUUAUUUGAAAGGGGCAAUUGCUCCACUACAAGAUGGACCCGCGUUGUAUUAGCUAGUAGGUGAGGUAAUGGCUCACCUAGGCGACGAUACAUAGCCGACCUGAGAGGGUGAUCUGCCACGCUGGGACUGAGACACGGCCCAGACUCCUACGGGAGGCAGCAGGAGGGAAUCUUCGGCAAUGGGGGCAAACCUGACCGAGCAACGCCGCGUGAGUGAAGAAGGUUUCCGGAUCGUAAAGCUCUGUUGUAAGUCAAGAACGGGUGUGAGAGUGGAAAGUUCACACUGUGACGGUAGCUAAUCAGAAAGGGACGGCUAACUACGUG